rnacentral:rRNA from 1 species
ACCACAUCUAAGGAAGGCAGCAGGCGCGCAAAUUACCCAAUGAAAACAGCUUCGAGGUAGUGACGAGAAAUAACAAUACAGGGCAUUUUUUGUUCUGUAAUUGGAAUGAUGGGAAUGUAAAACCCUUUCAGAUUAACAAUUGGAGGGCAAGUCUGGUGCCAGCAGCCGCGGUAAUUCCAGCUCCAAUAGUGUAUAUUAGAGUUGUUGCAGUUAAAAAGCUCGUAGUUGGAUUUCUGUCGUGGUCAUCCGGUUCCGCCUGUAUGGGUGUGCGCCUGGUUUGCCCUCGGCUUUCUUCCGUUAGCCUUCGGCGCUUCACUGCGUCUGUUGGUGUUUCGGAACUUUUACUUUGAGAAAAAUAGAGUGUUUCAAGCAGGCUUGUCGCCCUGAAUACUUCAGCAUGGAAUAAUAAGAUAGGACCUUGGUUCUAUUUUGUUGGUUUCUAGGACUAAGGUAAUGAUUAAUAGGGACAGUUGGGGGCAUUCGUAUUUAACUGUCAGAGGUGAAAUUCUUAGAUUUGUUAAAGACGAACUACUGCGAAAGCAUUUGCCAAGGAUGUUUUCAUUAAUCAAGAACGACAGUAGGGGGUUUGAAGACGAUUAGAUACCGUCGUAAUCUCUACCAUAAACUAUGCCGACUAGAGAUAGGGAAAUGCCUACCUUGGCUUCUCCUGCACCUCAUGAGAAAUCAAAGUCUCUGGGUUCUGGGGGGAAGUAUGGUCGCAAGGCUGAAACUUAAAGGAAUUGACGGAAGGGCACCACCAGGCGUGG